AUCUGGGCGGCGGAAUUCAGGAUGGCUGGCGGGCUUCGCGCUCGUCCGGUCGUUUGAUAUUUCCGUCGCCGUGUCGGACGUCGCGACCUGUUUGUCGUCGGUCCAUGCUCGGAGGAAUCGCGAUCGAGUUCGUUGCGCGGUGCGUUUCGGCGUGCCGAGCGGCGAAGACGCGGCUCUCUGGCUGACGRCGGACAGUAAGCAACGGUGUCCGGCGUCGUGUCUCGCACUCGACGUCGGUGCCGGUCUGCGACGAUUUCUUCGGGCCUCUUUCCGACCCGUCUUGAAACACGGACCAAGGAGUCUAACAUGCGCGCGAGUCGCGGGGUUUCGAGYGUACCACGGUACGCUCGUYACUUGCGAAACCCGUACGUUGAAGGCGUAAUGAAAGUGAACAGGGAAGAUGGCGUUCCGAGUCCACGUACCGUGAUCGAGUGUCGCGGCCGGACGUCCGCACUCCCGGGGCGUCUCAAUGGCUCGUCGCGGAUGCGGACGGUCGUCUCUCGGGGCGGCCGUCGGUCUGCGACGGACCGAGGCGCACCUAUAGCGUGCACGUUGGUACCCGAAAGAUGGUGAACUAUGCC
rnacentral:rRNA from 1 species